rnacentral:piRNA from 1 species
UGGAAAACCCACAAUUUUUGGUGUAUUUGU